rnacentral:pre_miRNA from 1 species
AGUGUAGAGGAGGGUGAGAAUGUCGUGUUCUCUCAGGCAAAUCACUCUUUUCUCGCUGC